rnacentral:rRNA from 1 species
UCUUCCCUCUGGCGGCGUGCCUAAUACAUGCAAGUCGAGCGAACAGACGAGGAGCUUGCUCCUCUGACGUUAGCGGCGGACGGGUGAGUAACACGUGGAUAACCUACCUAUAAGACUGGGAUAACUUCGGGAAACCGGAGCUAAUACCGGAUAAUAUAUUGAACCGCAUGGUUCAAUAGUGAAAGACGGUUUUGCUGUCACUUAUAGAUGGAUCCGCGCCGCAUUAGCUAGUUGGUAAGGUAACGGCUUACCAAGGCGACGAUGCGUAGCCGACCUGAGAGGGUGAUCGGCCACACUGGAACUGAGACACGGUCCAGACUCCUACGGGAGGCAGCAGUAGGGAAUCUUCCGCAAUGGGCGAAAGCCUGACGGAGCAACGCCGCGUGAGUGAUGAAGGUCUUCGGAUCGUAAAACUCUGUUAUUAGGCAAGAACAAAUGUGUAAGUAACUAUGCACGUCUUGACGGUACCUAAUCAGAAAGCCACGGCUAACUACGUG